UGCGGGAUAGUCUGGAGAUGGUUCCAGCCCAGCCUCAUAAGCUGUGCAACGCAGGUUCGAAUCCUGCUCCCGCGACUA
rnacentral:tRNA from 1 species